rnacentral:rRNA from 1 species
GAUGAACGCUGGCGGCGUGCCUAAUACAUGCAAGUCGAGCGAAUGGAUUAAGAGCUUGCUCUUAUGAAGUUAGCGGCGGACGGGUGAGUAACACGUGGGUAACCUGCCCAUAAGACUGGGAUAACUCCGGGAAACCGGGGCUAAUACCGGAUAACAUUUUGAACCGCAUGGUUCGAAAUUGAAAGGCGGCUUCGGCUGUCACUUAUGGAUGGACCCGGGUCGCAUUAGCUAGUUGGUGCGGUAACGGCUCACCAAGGCAACGAUGCGUAGCCGACCUGAGAGGGUGAUCGGCCACACUGGGACUGAGACACGGCCCAGACUCCUACGGGAGGCAGCAGUAGGGAAUCUUCCGCAAUGGACGAGAGUCUGACGGAGCAACGCCGCGUGAGUGAUGAAGGCUUUCGGGUCGUAAAACUCUGUUGUUAGGGAAGAACAAGUGCUAGUUGAAUAAGCUGGCACCUUGACGGUACCUAACCAGAAAGCCACGGCUAACUACGUGCCAGCCGCCGCCGUAA